AUUUAUAAAAUAUUUCAUUCACUUUAACAACUUUAUAGCAAUUUUUUUCUCUUCUCCUUCCUCUUUUUAUUCAUUUUUUCGAAGGAGGUGUAUUGACAUGGAUUGAAAUAUUACAAAUAUAAUUCAUCUUUUUUCUUCCUCCUAUCCUUCUAUUUUUUCUUCCUCUUAUCCUUCUAUUUUUUUCGUUCCUUUUUUUUUCUUUUCUAUUUUCUUUUUCUAUUUUUUUUCUUUUCCUGCCAUCUUCUGAAAUAUUACAAACAUAAUUAUUCAACCCCACACAACUCCAAACAAGACUCUUUCAACCCUUUGAAUAGGGUGAUAAUAUUGUUUUUCAUU
rnacentral:lncRNA from 1 species